UCCACUGCAUCUCUUUUCAUUCACAAGUCUGGGCACAUUAACCUGACAUAACAAUCUGAAAAGAGUCAGUUUUCAUAUUGGUGUAUUUUUAUCUUUUGUUAAUUCGUUUGAGCCUAUUCGUUUUAUUAAUUCAGAAAAGCUUUACUUUAGAGGGUCAAACAUUUCAUACUUGACACAUUUGCACACGAUGAGUAAUUCCAAUGGGGUUUCCCAGACCAGGUGACCAGGUGUAUUACUCUGCAGCUGAUCUCCUGCACAGGUUUAUGACGCAAGCUCUUAGCCUAAAGUAGAUGUGGAGGAGUAAAACUUCUUGAUUCAUCCAGGCCUCACACCCACCGUUGCUGGUGCCUGGGGAACAGAUGAGACAGUCCAAUCACAAACAGGCCAAGUGAGGACUGGAAGGUGGAGCUUAGCACUGAAACAGGGUGUGGUUCUGAAACUAGCAAG